rnacentral:rRNA from 1 species
UACGUAGGGCGCAAGCGUUGUCCGGAAUUAUUGGGGCGUAAAGAGCUCGUAGGCGGUUCGUCGCGUCGGCUGUGAAAUCCCGAGGCUCAACCUCGGGUCUGCAGUCGAUACGGGCGGACUGGAGUUCGGCAGGGGAGACUGGAAUUCCUGGUGUAGCGGUGAAAUGCGCAGAUAUCAGGGGGAACACCGGUGGCGAAGGCGGGUCUCUGGGCCGAUACUGACGCUGAGGAGCGAAAGCGUGGGGAGCGAACAGGG